rnacentral:lncRNA from 1 species
AGUAGCAAACAAUUUAUUUGGAUUCACACAGGGAAGGAGAGGUAGGGGUGUCAGGCAAGGAAAGUGGGGAGUAGGAAACCCUAAUACUUGUGUCCUCUGGAAGACUGCCUCCCCCAAGUUCUUGGGGUUCAAGACUAUUCCUCAGGCUUUUAAUUCAGGAGUCCAGGAACAGGUCAGGGAGAGAGAAAAUUUCAGGGAAAGAUCUGGAUGGCUCUGGCCAGAGUGAGUCCAAAUACAAAACCCCCUUGAGAAUUCAGGUAGCUAUUCUUUAAGAGUCUUAGUGGAGGCAUUUUUGAGUCCCAGAAGGAAUAACAGGUCCCAAAUGGAUAGGCUCUUUCUCAGCUUCCAGGAAAAACACCUUCCUACUUCCCUCCUAGGCUGAAAGACCAUUGACAGUUGGAGCUUCAGAGUUCUAAUUCCUUUAGAACUCCCCGGCUUCUCUCUCUGCCCUCCUCUGCUGCUCCUCAGCUGAUCUAUCUUUCAGCCUGGCUUGUCAUUGGAACCCCUUGGAUCUCUCUUUCUUACAUUUCAAUGGAAAUCACCAUCUGCUUCAGGAAGUGGAAUCGAAGGUUGAAGAGCUGACAAUAUCAUAUGUUUGGAGAUCCUUUAUUUGCAGCAGUACACAUGCAAUUUUGAGCAAGUGGGCUUUUGGAUGGAUGCAUUUAAAAAAAAUUCUGGGGAGCCAUUCUGGAGCCCAUAAAAGCACAUUAAGGAGUUAGCUACCUACUUUGCUUUUGUGUGAGACUGGCCCUGUCUGCCUAUAAUAAAGUGAGUUUAUUUUGUUAUAAGUAGAAUCUU